AGGAUUCCCCUAGUAACUGCGAGUGAAGCGGGAAAAGCUCAAAUUUAAAAUCUGGCGGUCUUCGGCCGUCCGAGUUGUAAUCUGGAGAAGCGUUUUCCGCGCUGGACCGUGUACAAGUCUCUUGGAACAGAGCGUCAUAGAGGGUGAGAAUCCCGUCUUUGACACGGACUACCAGUGCUAUGUGAUGCGCUCUCGAUGAGUCGAGUUGUUUGGGAAUGCAGCUCAAAAUGGGUGGUAAAUUCCAUCUAAAGCUAAAUAUUGGCGAGAGACCGAUAGCGAACAAGUACCGUGAGGGAAAGAUGAAAAGCACUUUGGAAAGAGAGUUAAACAGUACGUGAAAUUGCUGAAAGGGAAACGAUUGAAGUCAGUCGCGUGCGCUAGAACUCAGCCUUGCUUUUGCUUGGUGCACUUUCUAGUGUACGGGCCAGCAUCAGUUUUGGCCGCCGGAAAAAGGCCUUGGGAAUGUGGCACCUUCGGGUGUGUUAUAGCCCUUGGUUGUAUACGGUGGCUGGGACUGAGGAACAUAGCAUGCCUUUACGGCGGGGCUUCGGCCACCUUCAUGCUUUGGAUGCUGGCGUAAUGGCUUUAAACGACCCGUCUUGAAACACGGACCAAGGAGUCUAACAUGCCUGCGAGUGUUUGGGUGGAAAACCCGAGCGCGUAAUGAAAGUGAAAGUUGGGACUUCUGUCGUGGAAGGCACCGACGCCCGGACCAGACCUUCUGUGACGGAUCCGCGGUAGAGCAUGUAUGUUGGGACCCGAAAGAUGGUGAACUAUGCCUGAAUAGGGUGAAGCCAGAGGAAACUCUGGUGGAGGAUCGUAGCGAUUCUGACGUGCAAAUCGAUCGUCAAAU
rnacentral:rRNA from 1 species